UAAGAACAGCCUGGUCCAUAUCGAAUGCACGCAUAAUAAGCGAUCUGCGCGGGGAAAUAAGCCACAACUCUAAGAAUAUUUAGAAAUAAGCAUAUCACUGUAAACCUUAACAUAUGCAAACACACAGCAAGCAGUUUGCGUAAAACUCGUUAGAAGGAUUGGCCAAUCCGCCCGACACAGGAAGUGCCAUUGAGGUAACAUCAGUUUAGAAACUAACAAUGCAUUACAUGCUCCCAAUGCGUACACACAACUUUACUUUUUUCAUUACUGUCAGCUGUGUGACAAAAAGUGAGUUCAAAACUGCUAAUUUAAAUGAGAAGAGGACUUUGCAUCUUCUUGUGGAUAAACAGAAGAUCUGAGGACACCUGCUAACCAGGCUACAACGAUUAUUACUAAUUCAAAAGAGCAAAAGAGAUGGCUUCGAUGAGACAGACUGGGUACCACCAGCUGCAGCUGGCUGGAUCUGUCUUCCCAGCUUUGACACAGAAUGAAACCACCUCCUAUUGCCUGAGGUAAAACAUUGUGCCCCUGGGAGAGGUAUCUGUUCUCACAUGGUCUGUUUCCAUCGCAAUAAUAUGAUCAUGAUCAAGGCUGGACUCUGAGACUUAGAACCAAGAAUACACUAUAAUAUGGAGGGAUGGUGGUUAGCCAAUGGCUGCCCAUUGAUGCAUUGCCAGUUUGUGGGACUCCAUAGCUAUAUACUCUUACUGUAGCCAAUGGGACUAUAUGUUUAGAGCAAUUGAAGAAGUUAGGUUUUGAUAUAGUUUCGAAUACAUUUCAAGAAAAAUAAAAACAGGAGCGUGUGCUGAGCAGAAUUAAGUGCCAUUUCAAACACCUCUUGUCCAUGAUGCAAACCUGUAGGUGUCUGCUUGUACUGCAUGCCUGAUGAAUACAUUGGUUCCGGUUUUCCAGUUCAUAUGGGCCAUGGUGUGAGCGGCCACUAAAAUGACAGGUGUCUUCUUGUGAAAGUUUAAUCCUUUUAAUUCAUGUGUGGCUGUGUAUCAUGGCAGAUAGUGAGCCUGCCUUGUAAGGUUGCAGCUGCAUGAGGUGGCAGUUUUGUGUCCAGCUUAAAAGUAAACCUUUUUUGUUAUGCAAAACACCUUUUUUUUUUGCAGCAGAUGGCAGUAAAAUGCAAAUGGGACAAUGAAAACAAAUAUGGAUAUUGCGACAAUUGUAUUUUGCUGCCAUCUACUGCAAAAUAAAACUUUUCUCCAAAGAAUCAUACGAUUUUUGUUGCUGUUACCUUGCUUGAGUUAAUCAUUUAACUGAGCAAGAUAGCAAGUAUAACAUAUAAGCAUGCAUCAUAGCAGGCAAGCAUUUAUUGAUUAUAGCUUAUGAAUGUUUGACAGGUUCAGUUUUAUAAUUGCACGCAUAAAAAUGGGCAUAGAAUAAGAACGACUAGAACGAGUCCAUGCAAUAAUCAAACAGUGUACAAGAGCAAAAUAGACUGAAUGAGAUAUUAAUUUUUUUGUACAGGUAUUUGGAAUUUAAUUCAAGAAUGCAAAUUCUUAUUAAAAAAAACAAAAUAUGUGAUCCAGUCACCCUUGCACAUUGAUUGGUCAUUGUAUGUAAUCAUUCUAGUCAUUCUGCUUUAUGAUGAGAAAGAGAAAAUAAUGGCACAUUGCCAUGAAUGUUUCAACACAUCGGGUACUUCAAAUGAACUAAUAUAUCAAUGACUCAGUAUUAGAAAUUUUUCUGAACCCAGUGAAUUGCAUGGCUUCAAUUAGCUUUUCUGUGAAAGAUUGGCUACAUCACGCACAGUAACCCUUUGUAGAUUAUUCUGUUUGCUUAUUUUCAGAAUUGUACUAAUACCCACUUUACUGGCUUGACUGUUCAAGAUUAAUCAUUACAUCAAGGGGCAGUUAGAUAAAGUAACAGUAUUAAGUCUCAGAGUUUGUGGUGCUUAUCGGAGUGAUGAAUGUUAAUUGCUGUAAACAGUUUUAUCCCAACAAAUACAAAAUGGUUCUUUUGCAGGGGAUGUCUUACUGAUAUUAUGUUUGUUGUAAAGGGAGAUAUACUCACACUGCUUCUUAUGUAGUGGUCCAUGCCUAUACAGUGUGAGUUCUUGGUAGGCACUCAGAUACAGUUUUCAUUCUGCCAUGACUACAGUUCAGUUAUGUGUUUUGACUUCAAACUAUAAUCUCCUCGUGAACUUCAGCAGGAAAAUGGCUCUGUGGAGUCGCACUAUCAAUCUCAGCAUUUGCGUCUCUGGGCUCCAAAAUAAACAGGUACUGUUUCCUCUUGAGAAUAUACUGAUGCCAGGAAUUUUUCCAGAGUGCUGAAAAUUCCCACGCCUUACUGAUGUCCAUCUGCACAGUCAUGUGACCACCAAAAUCUCCUCCACGGUACUAUGGGGAUGUGUAUCUCAACCCA